rnacentral:tRNA from 1 species
GCUAAAUUGGCAGAUUAGUGUAGUUGACUUAGAUUCUUCAUAAAAAAUUAUUUUAAAAAUUUUAUUUAGUA